UGUGACUGCUCCUAGUUGUUAGAGCGUCCACCUCAGAUGUUGGAGGUCGUGGGUUCAAACCCCAGCUGAGUCAUAU